rnacentral:rRNA from 2 species
CUGCUAUACAUGCAAGUCGUACGCACUGGCCCAACUGAUUGAUGGUGCUUGCACCUGAUUGACGAUGGAUYACCAGUGAGUGGCGGACGGGUGAGUAACACGUAGGUAACCUGCCCCGGAGCGGGGGAUAACAUUUGGAAACAGAUGCUAAUACCGCAUAACAACAAAAGCCACAUGGCUUUUGUUUGAAAGAUGGCUUUGGCUAUCACUCUGGGAUGGACCUGCGGUGCAUUAGCUAGUUGGUAAGGUAACGGCUUACCAAGGCGAUGAUGCAUAGCCGAGUUGAGAGACUGAUCGGCCACAAUGGAACUGAGACACGGUCCAUACUCCUACGGGAGGCAGCAGUAGGGAAUCUUCCACAAUGGGCGCAAGCCUGAUGGAGCAACACCGCGUGAGUGAAGAAGGGUUUCGGCUCGUAAAGCUCUGUUGUUGGAGAAGAACGUGCGUGAGAGUAACUGUUCACGCAGUGACGGUAUCCAACCAGAAAGUCACGGCUAACUACGUGCCAGCAGCCGCGGUAAUACGUAGGUGGCAAGCGUUAUCCGGAUUUAUUGGGCGUAAAGCGAGCGCAGGCGGUUGCUUAGGUCUGAUGUGAAAGCCUUCGGCUUAACCGAAGAAGUGCAUCGGAAACCGGGCGACUUGAGUGCAGAAGAGGACAGUGGAACUCCAUGUGUAGCGGUGGAAUGCGUAGAUAUAUGGAAGAACACCAGUGGCGAAGCGGCUGUCUGGUCUGCAACUGACGCUGAGGCUCGAAAGCAUGGGUAGCGAACAGGAUUAGAUACCCUGGUAGUCCAUGCCGUAAACGAUGAGUGCUAGGUGUUGGAGGGUUUCCGCCCUUCAGUGCCGGAGCUAACGCAUUAAGCACUCCGCCUGGGGAGUACGACCGCAAGGUUGAAACUCAAAGGAAUUGACGGGGGCCCGCACAAGCGGUGGAGCAUGUGGUUUAAUUCGAAGCUACGCGAAGAACCUUACCAGGUCUUGACAUCUUGCGCUAACCUUAGAGAUAAGGCGUUCCCUUCGGGGACGCAAUGACAGGUGGUGCAUGGUCGUCGUCAGCUCGUGUCGUGAGAUGUUGGGUUAAGUCCCGCAACGAGCGCAACCCUUGUUACUAGUUGCCAGCAUUAAGUUGGGCACUCUAGUGAGACUGCCGGUGACAAACCGGAGGAAGGUGGGGACGACGUCAGAUCAUCAUGCCCCUUAUGACCUGGGCUACACACGUGCUACAAUGGACGGUACAACGAGUCGCAAGCUCGCGAGAGUAAGCUAAUCUCUUAAAGCCGUUCUCAGUUCGGACUGUAGGCUGCAACUCGCCUACACGAAGUCGGAAUCGCUAGUAAUCGCGGAUCAGCAUGCCGCGGUGAAUACGUUCCCGGGCCUUGUACACACCGCCCGUCACACCAUGGGAGUUUGUAACGCCCAAAGUCGGUGGCCUAACCUUUAUGGAGGGAGCCGCCUAA